UACGAAGGGGGCUAGCGUUGCUCGGAAUCACUGGGCUUAAAGCGCGUGUAGGCGGAUGGGAACGUCGGCUUCUGAAAGCCCCCGGCUCAACCGGGGAAGUGGGGCCGAAACGACCCGUCUCGAGGGACGUAGGGGGAUCUGGAACUUCCGGUGGAGCGGUGAAAUGCGUUGAGAUCGGAAGGAACGCCCGUGGCGAAAGCGAGAUCCUGGACGUUUUCUGACGCUGAGACGCGAAAGCUAGGGGAGCAAACGGGG
rnacentral:rRNA from 1 species